CCGUAUCACUUCCCACAAUUGCAGGGGCAGAACAUAAAUUCAAACCUCUAAGCAUAGCUUGUUUUGACAAUCACAGUCAUAACUAGGUCUUGUCCACUUGACUGACAUUCUUCAUCUCCAUUACUGGAAUAAUGGAAAUCUCCAUUUCUGGAAUAAUCCUGAGCCCUCUGGACCCUUCAGCACAUGAGGUGACUUUUGGACCUCACCAUGGUUUCCAGGGGAGCCAACCCUGUGAUUAGAGGGUUGGAACUUCAGUGUUGCCCCCCACCACUCACCCCUGACCUCUACUGGAGAUGGCCCAGAGGUUGAAUCAAUUGCCAAUGGCCACUGAUUUAAUCAUUGUCUUCACAGAGCCCUGUGAAGGAAGUCAGAGAGGGGACUUUACCUGUCCAUGGUCACACAGCAGAGCUUCAGAUCCAGAUUCUGCAGACUCUGGAAGCCAUAAGCUUUUCAUCACCCCAGGCUCAAACCUGAAGACAAAAUGAAGGCAAUGAGAAUCCUUUGACAUGGAUUUCUAGGAGGAAGAAACUGUUGGCCCACCAACACGGUUCUGUUUGCAAGCACACUUCAUAUUCCUUAUGCAAAGGCAGGGCAAAAGGUGAACAGCUAACAUGUCCUGAAGAGCACUCAUGUUGUAACGCAAAGGAAUCUGACGGUUCCAAUCACGCAGCGCCGUGUCCAGUGAUUCAGCACUAGGUCAGAAAUGUUCUUUUAGGAAAAGACCUAAGUAAAAUUCGUGCUUCACAAACACGAGACCAUAUUAAAAUAAGCCUGCUUUUUAUAAGAUGAAGAAACUUGAAGCCAUUAUCUGAAAACUCAGAGGACAGAAAUGAAUUCAGAGGAAAAAGAGGUUAAUUGGUGGGAAUUGUUCAGACUGAUAGCUGAUAUUGAUCAGAAAUACUGACGGCUGGAUCCUCUCCCUCUUCCUGGCUUUGCUGCCAUAGCCCACAAUUUUAAAGGUGGAUUGAAAUUUUAAGAGACAAUGAAGACCAAGGUUAUUCUGGCUUGAGCUCAGUAUUCUUCCGAUGGGCAGGUGGGCAUUGGGGGCGCAGGGGGGAGCGGUGAUGAGUAUUCUGGGUGUAGGUUACAGCUUUCAUCACCUGUCACAAUUUUGUAAUCUCAAAAUCUGACCAGAGCACCUAACUUUCAAUUUUCUCAUUUUGUUCCAUGUCUUUUCCCUGCAAUAUUAAAAGGGAAAAGGAGGGAGGGCCGUGGGGAGGGGGGAAAGAAAGGAAAAAAACAGAAAGAAGAAAGUAAAUACGAAUUCCAAAAAGGAGAGGAAAACAAUGGUCCAAUGGACUAUUCUGAGAUUUAUUAUUGGUUAAAAAAAUAAUAAAAACAAAAACUUUAAAUCAAGCUUAUUUUUUAAAAAUUGGUUCCUAAAAAUAAAGAAUAAAUGUGUUCACAAGCAAUUAAUAAGCAAUUUUUAUCUAGGAAGUGAGCGAUUUCUGUGCAGAGGGGGAAAAAAGGCUCCAGGCUUUGCCUCAUCUCCUAGAAGCAUCCCAUAUUCUUAGAUGUGACGUUGCCUUGGUAACCACAACUUGGUGACCUCGUUAUUUCAACCUAAUCCUGCUUUGAAAUUAUAGUUGCUCCACCCUUUUGCCUGGCUAGCCUGAUAACAUAAUCAUUGUAAAUGAGGAUGGGAAAAAAACAGCAGGAUACAGUCCCUCCGGUGACACAGGACCAGUCUCACCUUAUCAUGGAAAUAGACGAACAAUUAAACGGCAUGAAUCUAAAACC